CUCGUGGUCUCUGCACGCUAUCGUCUGCGAAGGGUCAAGAAGUCGUGAAGAUAAAGUCGAACCAUAUUAGUAUGUGCCCGCUACAUUUUCCAGCGAACAGCGAAAUGUCCGUUUUCGAUUGUAGCGUUUGUUCCUGCUCUCACAAGAUUGAACAAGCAAGGAUCAUCAUAACGAGGAGAGGAGGCGGGCACGCACGCACGCACGCGCACGACACUCGCGUCACGACGGCAGACCGACGACUGAACGAUAAACUGUUCUUGAUUGGCUUAAUAUACUCGGACGAGGACUGUAAUUGGCCGCUCCUUGCCGCGGCGGGAAAUGAUUGGUCAAUUUAAUCCUAGAAGCUCGGUGCAUUAAGCAUUCAAGCAGCGUUCAGUACCUAUUAACGGUUCGCAAGAGAGGCACUGUCACUGGCCACCACCGCCAUCGUUUCUCUGUGUGACUCCUUCUUUGUCGUCAUCGGUGCACAUCAUACUCUCCGUGCCUCUUUCUCUCACUCUUUCGCUCCCUCCCCCCCGAUCUCUUGUCACGUAGAAAACUGUCCUCUGUCUCUCUCUUCUCUUAUUUUUUCAGCUCUCUCUCUCUUCCUCGCGCGCGCGACGUCGUUCCAAAUCAAUUUACCAAUUGAAAUCAGUGCCGGACAGUGAAGAAUCGCGUCACUGAAUGGGUCCGGCAACCGACGGGGAAUAUGCGUCUCCCAUGUGCAUGCCUUCCACCGCUUGUUAUCAAACCGUUCACCGGCAGGCCCCGAGUCUUUAUUGCCUCGCCUUCGUGCACGAAUCGAAACGCGCGGCUAACGACACGAUCGUCCGUUAGAUUCCCUCUAUGACAGUGCUUUUCAACCUUCCCCCCCAGAGCCGGCCGAAUUCGAAAGGCCCGCGCGAACCGACGCUCGGUUCAAAUUCCAUGCGCGAGAACCAAAGCUUCGAUCGUUCGACAACUUCCGGUUCUAAAGAACGCCCGCCACACUGCCCACUCGUUCAUUCAUCUUCAUCGUAAACGAAAUUAUAGAUGACAAAGGGACGGAUAAGAAGUAUUCUUUUUUAGGUACGAAGAUUUUUGUGACCGAGUGUACGUUUGAGAGUAGUACAACCGAAUUAAUAUUAUUAUUAUUAUAUUAACAUUUAAACAAACAUAAAAUAUAAGAAUAAAAUGAGGUAUUUUGAGGAAAUUAUUUGAAAUGCUCCUUUUCAAAUCCUGAUUUGACACCUGUGGUACAUAGUUGAGAAUCGCGAACUUGUCCGAUGGUGCUGAUUGGUUGAGAAGUUCUCCUUCCGGUCUAACUGUUGCAGUUUCGAAGUGACGCGAUUAAAGUGACAAUAACAAGUAGCGGGAUCGAAUUUGUUGGUUAAGAAAAUGUCCAGUUGAUUACGAGUUACAGACGAGCCUGCUUUUAAAGUAGACGCCUAGCGAAACCACCAUCUUUGAACAAUAAUUCGACAAUCGAGUACACGUGUCCCUACCUCCAUGCUGACUGCAGGAUCCCUGAGGAGGUCCUUGAUGGAGGCUCGCAGUUUCUCAGCAUCAUCAAGAUCCCCUUCUCCAUCGACCGACGUCGGCGCCAAUGUAACGAUGCUGGUGCAACAUCCAGCGAUUGGUGCAAAUUAUCCCUGAUCACGCUGGUAGGCCAUUCUUCGUCGAAUUUGCUCCUUGGCACGCCGGUCACCCCAGCCAGUAGAUUCUUCACGUUGUCCAGGACCGUACGCUCCAGCGGUGGCAAGGACAAAAUACCUUUCAGAAUGUUCGUAUCGGUUACCGUAUCCCAGCUGCCAGCUCGCAUUGAAACCCAUCUGAUCGCUGAAGGAAACAAUUUCCUCGGCAUCCAGAGAGCUCCCUUGUCUCUCAUCGUUCUCAGCCGAAAUGCAAGCAAUCACGUCGAGCCCCGAUUUUUCCGCCCACUGGUACACCAACGCCCAAUCGGAUUCUGCGAUCAGGAAUUAGACAAUGCUCAUCUCACACGGUCGAGGGGACGCUCGAAGCUCUGGAUCUCGGAUCCUGGAUCGUAUCGCGAUGAACGUUUUCCUUGGACUGAGGGACGCGAUUAUUCGGGAAAAGUCAAAUGGACGACACCUGACCCGAUGACGAAUGCUCGCGGCCAUUUCGACAGUCGUUUCGAAACCGCUAAAUCGGUCGUUGCGUAAAGAAUGGAUCGCGAUUUGCACGCACAGCGAAACGAUCUUCGGCUCGUUGGCCUCGUGCCUUACAAAAUCGAAUUACCGAAGGCAUGUCGAAUGUCGUUCGGAAUUCUUCGGGUUCCCAUUUCGUCGUCGGCCGAACUUGUGUUGCAAUUGUUGUACAUGUUAAUCGCCGUUUUCACGGAUCUUCGUGCGUUUAUCGAUAUUGUUAUCUUAUCGGCGAGACAUCCGAUAGCGAGGAUUUGCAUAAAGAUUCGCGUAACGAUUACAGAAGUCCGAGGAUGCUCGUUUCUGUGAAUACAAACAUCGGGAAUUAUU